UAGUAACGGCGAGUGAAGCGGGAUGAGCUCAAGCUUAAAAUCUCCAUACAAAUUUUGUAUGGCGAAUUGUAGUCUAUAGAUGCGUGAUCAGCGCGUGCACUUAGAGUAAGUUCCUUGGAAGAGGACAGCAUGGAGGGUAAUACUCCCGUCUAUCUCUAAGUUGCGUGUGCGUACGAUCCGUUUUCUUUGAGUCGCGUUGUUUGAGAAUGCAGCGCAAAGUAGGUGGUAAAUUCCAUCUAAAGCUAAAUAUUGGUGCGAGACCGAUAGCAUACAAGUACCGUGAGGGAAAGAUGAAAAGAACUUUGAAAAGAGAGUUAAAGAGUACCUGAAACUGCUGAAAGGUAACCAAAUCGUUUCCAGUGUCUAUAAUCCGUGGUAUAUUUCAUUGACGAGUGUGUUUGUGCAUGUACUAUGGCAGCUUCCUUUUUGGUAGCGCUUUGUGUGUGUGCGAUGUGUGCUUGUUGGUGCCCUGUACUGCGGUGGGACGUCAAGGUCAGUUCGUAUACUGCGACAAAUGACUGUUGAGGAGGUAGGGCUUACGCUUGCGUUUGUCUGUUAUAUCUUGAUAGACUAGUAGUUGCGGUUGGGACUGAGGUGCCUAUAACAUGCUUUUUGAGAAGGAUUGAAUCUCCGUGUGCGCCGUGUGCAAAUAGCUUGCUAUGUGCGUGUGGUUGUAUGUGGAU
rnacentral:rRNA from 1 species